rnacentral:rRNA from 1 species
GACGAACGCUGGCGGCGUGCUUAACACAUGCAAGUCGAACGCUGAAGCUUGGUGCUUGCCCUGGGUGGCUGAGUGGCGAACGGGUGAGUAAUACGUGAGUAACCUGCCCUUGACUCUGGGAUAAGCCUGGGAAACUGGGUCUAAUACUGGAUACGACAUGUCACCGCAUGGUGGUGUGUGGAAAGGGUUUUACUGGUUUUGGAUGGGCUCACGGCCUAUCAGCUUGUUGGUGGGGUAAUGGCUCACCAAGGCGACGACGGGUAGCCGGCCUGAGAGGGUGACCGGCCACACUGGGACUGAGACACGGCCCAGACUCCUACGGGAGGCAGCAGUGGGGAAUAUUGCACAAUGGGCGAAAGCCUGAUGCAGCGACGCCGCGUGAGGGAUGACGGCCUUCGGGUUGUAAACCUCUUUCAGCACGGAAGAAGCGAAAGUGACGGUACGUGCAGAAGAAGCGCCGGCUAACUACGUG